AUUGCAUUUCAGCAGCGCCCGCGCACAUGGACGCUCCAAUUACAGGUACUUGGGAGGGGACGCCUUUGUCCGCGGCCCAUUCACGGCGGAGCCGGCUCCGGGCGGAGAAGCUGUCGGGCGCUGUCGCACAAAGCGAUUUUGUGCCUCCUCCCGGCGCCUUCCUCCACUCCCUGCCGCGUUCAAGGACAAACAAGGACCUCCAAAUUCGUGUUCAAACGCCCCGCGUGCUCUAGAGGCUAGAAAUUGGCAGUCAGGAUGUGUGUAAGGCCACGCUCCCUCUGAAGACUCCAGGGGAGGAUCUUUCCUUGCCUCCUCCAGCUUCUGGUGGCUGCCAGCAUCCUUGGCAUUCCUUGGCCUGUGGACACAUCACUCUCAUCUCUGCCCAUGGUCACAACCCCAAGCUCCAGAAUACAGACCAGCAGGCGAGGAGACAAGGAGGCAAGCAGAUGGAUGGUGGAACAAAGUGGCAGAGAAAGAGAGAAGAGGAGAGAUGUCUGGACGCCAAGAGGAGUCUGGCUGGGGCCAGUCAGAGAAGAGUCCAGCGGCUGGGCAGCCCGACUCCAGGGGAAGAUCACCUUCCCACUCCAUCCCCCUUCACGCUCCCCAUCCAUCUCACUAAGAGCCAUCUCUACCACUCAAUAAAACCUUGCAUUCAUCCUUCAAACCCUUGUGUGAUGUGAUUCUUCUGAGACACUGGGCAAGAGCUCAGGAUACAGAAAGCUGUCACAUUGGCCCUCUGCCCUUCUGAUAAGGCCGAGGGUCCAUUGAGCUGAUUAA
rnacentral:lncRNA from 1 species